GGAAGUCUAAACCGGAGGUGGGGUUGCUCCGGUAAGACCCUCCGACGCUCAAGUCAGUUUUCGGCCUCAACAAGAAUGGAGUGCUCGAACGAAGAAUUUAGCAGAGUUUUGAGAUAAAGAAAAGGAGCUUAAAGAAUAACAUAUCUGGGUCUCCCUUUUAUAGGCGGAGGAGGCAAAGGAUUGAUGGCGACAUUUGUAACCGCCUGGCAGCGGGCCGCCCAUGGUCAGGGGAAUUGAUUGCGAAAGAUAGUGGGGUAGACCCGUGGCUAUCGCCAUAGCCUGCCACGUAGGGCCUGUUGUAGGUAGUGGGGCGACAUCCGUUGCCGCUAGUUGUCAGCGAGUAGUGGGAUCGUGCAGCACCUGCC
rnacentral:lncRNA from 1 species